UACGAAGGGUGCAAGCGUUGCUCGGAAUUAUUGGGCGUAAAGCGUACGUAGGCGGUUUUCUAAGUCUGGAGUUAAAGACCGAGGCUCAACCUCGGGAGUGCUCUGGAAACUGGAAGGCUGGAGGACGGCAGAGGAAAGUGGAAUUCCCAGUGUAGCGGUGAAAUGCGUAGAUAUUGGGAGGAACACCAGUGGCGAAAGCGACUUUCUGGGCCGUUCCUGACGCUGAGGUACGAAAGCCAGGGGAGCAAACGGG
rnacentral:rRNA from 1 species